GCGGGCAUAGCUCAGUUGGUAGAGUACAAGCUUCCCAAGCUUGGNNGUUCGAAUCCCGUUGCCCGCUCCA
rnacentral:tRNA from 1 species